GAGUGAACGCUGGCGGCAGGCCUAACACAUGCAAGUCGAACGGCAGCACAGGGGAGCUUGCUCCCUGGGUGGCGAGUGGCGGACGGGUGAGGAAUACAUGGGAAUCUGCCCAAUCGUGGGGGAUAACGUAGGGAAACUUACGCUAAUACCGCAUACGACCUUAGGGUGAAAGCGGCGGACCGCAAGGCGUCGCGCGAUUGGAUGAGCCCAUGUCGGAUUAGCUUGUUGGCGGGGUAAAGGCCCACCAAGGCGACGAUCCGUAGCUGGUCUGAGAGGAUGAUCAGCCACACUGGAACUGAGACACGGUCCAGACUCCGUACGGGAGGCAGCAGUGGGGAAUAGUUGGAACAA
rnacentral:rRNA from 1 species